AUGGUGAACUGAGAUCAGUAAAGAGUUGGUUGAGUAUUAUUGUAAUUUGCUCGGGGGUCCUGAAGGGAAUAUUUAUUAUUUAUUUUAUGUUACUUACAAUAACAGCAUUAGUUAGAAUGUGUAAAGUAUCUAGUUUUAUUAUUCUUGUCAUUUUAAUCUUUUAAUUUUAUUAUAGGCUACUUUGCACUGAUACUAGUGAUAGGUUAGUAUAUUGACUUAGGACUAGCCUACAUCUAAGCUGAUCAAACCUCGUGAUAUACUAGGCUUACAGUUUAAGGCCUAAAGUUGUUAACAGUAACAGCAGGGUUACUCAACUAAUGAAAUAAUUCAUUCUAUUUAAUCUUUAUAAGUAAGAAUUUAAGAAGGAUAUAUUCCAUUACCUAUGUUCAUUAGCACUUUAAUUUUGUUUUGUACUAAAUCUAAAUACUUAAAGUAGGUAACUUGCUGUGAUCAGAAGUUAAUAUUAAUUUGAAUAGUCAGAACAUUGAAAAACGAAUUGAUUGGUUUAAGGUUGACUUUUAGGUUUAGUAAUAUAUGCAUAGGGUUAUAAUGGAAUGUAUGUAUUUUUUCAUUACUCUCUACUUUCUUUUACUCUUCAGGUCUAGUCAAAACAGAGAAAAAAGAAAGACUUAAUCUUAUUAACCAACCUGAUAAACGAAAUUGUGUUGACAGAAGGAUUUGAAAGAGAUUAAACAACUUUGGUAGCUAUUCUCUAUGGAAAAGUUUCCUGAGAAGUAUUUGACAGUUGACAGACAUUCCACCUGUUAUUCAUCAUUUGAAGCAAAGUAUUUAACUGAUGCUCUUCAGUUUGAAUGGGAACACGGGAAA